GAUGAACGCUGGCGGCGUGCUUAACACAUGCAAGUCGAACGAACCUUCGGGUUAGUGGCGGACGGGUGAGUAACGCGUGAGAAUCUGCCCUCAGGAGGGGGAUAACGGUUGGAAACGACCGCUAAUACCCCAUAUGCCGAUAGGUGAAAUGAAUUUCGCCUGAGGAUGAGCUCGCGUCUGAUUAGCUUGUUGGUGAGGUAAUGGCUCACCAAGGCUUCGAUCAGUAGCUGGUCUGAGAGGAUGAUCAGCCACACUGGGACUGAGACACGGCCCAGACUCCUACGGGAGGCAGCAGUGGGGAAUUUUCCGCAAUGGGCGAAAGCCUGACGGAGCAACGCCGCGUGAGGGACGAAGGCCUCUGGGCUGUAAACCUCUUUUCUCAAGGAAGAAGAUAUGACGGUACUUGAGGAAUAAGCCACGGCUAAUUCCGUGCCAGCAGCCGCGGUAAUACGGGAGUGGCAAGCGUUAUCCGGAAUUAUUGGGCGUAAAGCGUCCGCAGGCGGCCUUUCAAGUCUGCUGUUAAAGCGUGGAGCUUAACUCCAUUAUGGCAGUGGAAACUGAUCGGCUUGAGUAUGGUAGGGGCAGAGGGAAUUCCCGGUGUAGCGGUGAAAUGCGUAGAUAUCGGGAAGAACACCAGUGGCGAAGGCGCUCUGCUGGGCCAUUACUGACGCUCAUGGACGAAAGCCAGGGGAGCGAAAGGGAUUAGAUACCCCUGUAGUCCUGGCCGUAAACGAUGAACACUAGGUGUCGGGGGAAUCGACCCCUUCGGUGUCGUAGCUAACGCGUUAAGUGUUCCGCCUGGGGAGUACGCACGCAAGUGUGAAACUCAAAGGAAUUGACGGGGGCCCGCACAAGCGGUGGAGUAUGUGGUUUAAUUCGAUGCAACGCGAAGAACCUUACCAGGGUUUGACAUCCUGAGAACCUCUUAGAAAUUUGAGGGUGCCUUCGGGAAUUCAGUGACAGGUGGUGCAUGGCUGUCGUCAGCUCGUGUCGUGAGAUGUUGGGUUAAGUCCCGCAACGAGCGCAACCCACGUUUUUAGCUGCCAGCAUUUAGUUGGGCACUCUAGAAAGACCGCCGGUGAUAAACCGGAGGAAGGUGUGGAUGACGUCAAGUCAUCAUGCCCCUUACACCCUGGGCUACACACGUACUACAAUGCUACGGACAAAGGGCAGCAAACUCGCGAGAGCUAGCAAAUCCCAUAAACCGUGGCUCAGUUCAGAUCGUAGGCUGCAACUCGCCUACGUGAAGUAGGAAUCGCUAGUAAUCGCAGGUCAGCAUACUGCGGUGAAUACGUUCCCGGGCCUUGUACACACCGCCCGUCACACCAUGGAAGUUGGCCAUGCCCGAAGUCGUUACUCCAACCCUUGUGGAGGAGGACGCCGAAGGUGGGGCUAAUGACUGGGGUGAAGUCGUAACAAGGUAGCCGUACCGGAAGGUGCGGCUGGAUCACCUCCU
rnacentral:rRNA from 1 species